rnacentral:misc_RNA from 1 species
GCUCGACUAAACAGAAUUGGGGGAGAAGUCUUAUGUUAUAUAUGGUAAUCGCCCCGCCUAUAGCGGUAAUCGCCCCACCUAUAGUUAUAGUACCCAAAUUCUAUCUUGAACUUCCUAUUUUUCAAACAAAAAUACAACGUUUUUUUAUUUGAAAAUAAAAAAAGAAAAAUAGGAGAAAAAAAAAUAUGACAGAAAAGAAAAAUAGGAG